UACACAUACAGGGUGUAUAAAAUAACUGAACAGAUUUGAAAUUACUCUCAAAUUAAUCUGUUCAGUUAUUUUAUACCCCCUGUAUAAAA